AACGAACGCUGGCGGCAGGCUUAACACAUGCAAGUCGAGCGAGACCUUCGGGUCUAGCGGCGGACGGGUGAGUAACGCGUGGGAACGUGCCCUUCUCUACGGAAUAGCCCCGGGAAACUGGGAGUAAUACCGUAUACGCCCUUUGGGGGAAAGAUUUAUCGGAGAAGGAUCUGCCGGCGUUGGAUUAGGUGGUUGGUGGGGUAAUGGCACACCAGGCCGACAAUCCAUAGCUGGUUUGAGAGGAUGAGCCGCCACACUGGGACUGAGACACGGCCCAGACUCCUACGGGAGGGAGCAGUGGGGGAUCUUAGAAAGUGGGGGCAAUGCUGAACUAGCCAGGCCGCGAGAGUGAUGAAGGCCUGAAGGAAGUAAAGCGCUAUCAGCUGGGAAGAUAAUGACGGUACCAACAGAAAAAGCCCCGGCUAACUCCGUG
rnacentral:rRNA from 1 species